rnacentral:misc_RNA from 1 species
GCAGAUGAAGCCGCUGUAAUGGCGAACGACGAAUACACAUUGUGUAGGAUAUAUUUAAUUCAUCUGCUCUCACGGCAUCUCGAAGAAGGGUGCUCUUUUACUGACACUAUGGCUUUAGGUGCAUUUAAACUUGCAAUUAUGUGCCUUAUCUGACAAUAAAUGCAAACGUAUGUGAAGGAUUCAUCUUUCUUUUCCAGACAAUUUGUUUACAUGACUGUACUUUUAUUUAUAUGGAAUAAUCAAGACUUUCACAAACUGUGAAACAUAGAUAAAAGAUUCUAUGUUGUUUAUUGUUUGAAAACUGAAAAGUGCAUUUUAUACACAUAUUUUAUUUUGAAAAAAAUCUAUUCUUUCGGGGGGAAAGUUUUCAGUAAAGUCGUGUCAUAAAUUCUUUUAUAAUUCACAUUUCCUCAAUCAUUUGUCCCUCAAAAAGUCGUGAAUGGCAGAUCCAAUUUUAGUAUAGAUUAUUUUAACGAUGCCACCAUGCGCUGUUUUGGAAGACAUUUCUUUGACGAAAUGUGCGGGGAAUUACAGAAUUGGUUUCAUUAAAUUUUAUUCGACCAUUUUUUGGCUUUCUAUCUGUUAAUUUGAGUAUCGGGAGGGAUUUCAAAAUUUGUAUAUAUAUUCAUGGUUUUUCCUUGUGUGUAUUUCGCAUUUUAUUGUUUUUGUUAUCCACAAGGAAGAAUGCAGUGAAUAACUGGAACCAAACAAUGAAAUCUUAAAGAAAUUACGAUUAUUUUGUAUUUGGAUUUGUAAAUUUUGAAAAUAAACAUGAAAAUUC